rnacentral:rRNA from 1 species
CCUACGGGAGGCAGCAGUGAGGAAUAUUGGUCAAUGGACGGAAGUCUGAACCAGCCAUGCCGCGUGCAGGAAGACGGCUCUAUGAGUUUUAAACUGCUUUUGUACAAGGGUAAACCUGAAUACGUGUAUUCAGCUCAAAGUACUGUACGAAUAAGGAUCGGCUAACUCCGUGCCAGCAGCCGCGGUAAUACUGAUGAUCCAAGCGUUAUCCGGAUUUAUUGGGUUUAAAGGGUGCGUAGGCGGAUGGAUAAGUUAGAGGUGAAAUGUCCGCGCUUAACUCGGGAAGUGCCUCUAAUACUGUUGAUCUAGAGAGUGGAUGCGGGAGGCAGAAUGCAUGGUGUAGCGGUGAAAUGCUUAGAGAUG